AGUGAACGCUGGCGGUAGGCCUAACACAUGCAAGUCGAACGGCAGCACAGUAAGAGCUUGCUCUUACGGGUGGCGAGUGGCGGACGGGUGAGGAAUACAUCGGAAUCUACUUUCUCGUGGGGGAUAACGUAGGGAAACUUACGCUAAUACCGCAUACGACCUACGGGUGAAAGCAGGGGAUCUUCGGACUUUGCGCGAUUGAAUGAGCCGAUGUCGGAUUAGCUAGUUGGCGGGGUAAAGGCCCACCAAGGCGACGAUCCGUAGCUGGUCUGAGAGGAUGAUCAGCCACACUGGAACUGAGACACGGUCCAGACUCCUACGGGAGGCAGCAGUGGGGAAUAUUGGACAAUGGGCGCAAGCCUGAUCCAGCCAUACCGCGUGGGUGAAGAAGGCCUUCGGGUUGUAAAGCCCUUUUGUUGGGAAAGAAAGGCAGCAGGUUAAUACCCCGCUGUUCUGACGGUACCCAAAGAAUAAGCACCGGCUAACUUCGUG
rnacentral:rRNA from 1 species